UGAACUGGGAAAUGUAUCAGCCAAUCAUGUUGCUGCGCUGACACGAGCUCCCAGUUGAGAUCCAUAGCUUUGACUGACUUGGUGCGGCUGCAGAUGGACCGCCAACAGACCCUGAAUUGGAGGAUGUCACACGAAUGCACAGGGUUACCAAGAAAUGAUUGUUGGAGGCUCGAGUCAAUCCAAGCUAACAUUAGAGGAGGAAAAUAAGGUCCCCCAGAACACUGUUUUUGAAGCUAGAAAGGUGGCAGGGUCCGCCACAUAUAAACCACCUGUAAGGUUUGUGGAGACAGAGUGAAGGACAGUGGAUAUGGCAUCGUCUGAUGAUCUAUAUCAAACAGGGGUCUCCAAGCCACUUGUAGUGACCUGGUCGGAUGGAGAACAUAUAAUAUAACCCGGGACGUAACAUUAUUUUUUAUUCAGUAUCUUUUUUGGUCGUCGCUGUUAUUACUCACUCAUUUAAACUACAGCAUGCAACUGAAAUAAAAGCACAAUUCUAUUUAAAAA